GGGGAUGUAGCUCAAUGGUUUCACCUCCUGCCUCACAAGCACAAGGACCCGAGGUUCGAUUCCCAGUAUCCCCC
rnacentral:tRNA from 1 species